CCUCAUCCCAGCCUUUCAGUAACUUAAUCAUCAAAAAUAAAUAUCAGAAGGGCUACUCUCGUAUUUCAAUCAGAUGCUUAUAUCCAACACCGCUAGAUGUCAGCAGUGCACUGCUGUAAAGGUCGCUAGGUCCAAUCUGUAAAUAAAGUAUAAAAAUGAAUGGUUCUGGAACAAUUUUUAUCAUCUAUUUUCCAUUAGCAAUAUUAUCGUACCCAGAUGUCACCUAAUGAAAGCAGAAUUACCGGUCAUUCAGGUUUGUCCUUUGUGCAUUCCAUGAUGUUAGUGACUGCAUUUUGAAUACUUGUGUUUUUCCCUCAGAGCUGGACAAAAUGCAAGUGCCCUUUUUUCUGCUCACUAAUUCCAAGUAGCAGUCAUCAACAGGCACGUUACAGGGAGUAAAGCGAUGCUUUUGGACGGGUGAUCGUAACAAGGAUGAUGAAGCAGCCUUCACUUGGAGGUAGGCUGUAUUUGUGUACUGGAAGCAGCAAUUGGGAAGAAGUCCCGGCGUGGAUCCUGAGCUAAGGAAACUGUAGCCUCACUGAACGUGCUGCACAUCUGUUCCGUGGCAAGGAGAGCCGAGUGCCUACAGCUUGCAGUGCAGAUUCUGCAGCAAAUCUUCCGUCUGCCAACCCGGACUCUAUGCUUCAGCAGCAGUCACAGGAGUAACAGAUGUAUGGACCCUGAAGCCAUUGAGCUUGCACCAUCUACACUGCUUGAUGCUUAA
rnacentral:lncRNA from 1 species